CGCACCCCCCCCCCCCAAACAAAAAUACAGAUACCCCUAUACACCCCUAGAUACAGCCAUAAAACUCAGCUAAUCUCCCUUGUACAGCCCUACAUACAGCCACCAAACGCAGCUUAUACAGACCUAGAUACAGCUACACACUAGAUCCACAACCACCCACCUGUCAGCCUGUGAUCUAUCCUGCCGGUCAUACCCGUCCUCUGCUACACUUCUCUUACAACCCCCCCCCCCCCCCCCAGCCCUUCUCCUCUGUCCUCCUGAUCCAGGUAGAACCCUGCUGUCUCCUCAUGUCAUGUCACCAUGGAGACGUGUUCUGCGAGUGUUGUAGAGUUUAGCGGAAUCCAAUUGGCCCGGUAGAGCACUUAUGCAAUCAGUGGCUCCUGGUUGUGUAUGCUACUUUAUCAUGUAUAUAUUAUCUACUGUAUAUAUUCCUGGAGACCAGGUGACUUCGGGACAGAUUUGACCCACAUAUGGUGCCGACCUAGGCCUGAUCCAGGUCUAGAUCAGGUCUAGAUCAGGUGUAGAUCAGGUGUAGAUUAGGUCUAGAUCAGGUCUACAUCAGGUCUACAUCAGGACUAGAUCAGGUCUAGAUCAGGUCUAGAUCAGGUCUAGAUUAGGUCUAGAUUAGGUCUAGAUCAGGUCUAGAUCAGGUCUACAUCAGGACUAGAUCAGGUCUAGAUCAGGUCUAGAUCAGGACUAGAUCAGGACUAGAUCAGGUCUAGAUCAGGUCUACAUCAGGUCUAGAUCAGGUCUAGAUUAGGUCUAGAUCAGGGCCAGAUCUGUACCAGAGUCAGCUGUCUGGGUUUAGAUAUUUAAAAUAGAUGAAGAACAUUUGUGAAGUAUAACGAUCACAGGUCCAUGUUUAGGUUCCUUCUUUUUGUUUUGCAUUUUUUUGUAAGUAUAUGUAGUUGAGUGUGUUCUGGGUCUUUGUGUCGCCUCCUGCUGUGUAAUCUCUUUACUUUUAUGAUGAAGGACGACACUAACCGAGGCAGCUUUGCCACCCAACUAGCGUUGAAUGUGGGGACAUUAGGUGUCCGGAUCUGCCUGGGUUAGUUCCAGUUUUUAAGGGCACAAUUCAAAGAGAUGAAUCUGAUGAGAAACUGUGAACGCCGUGGGCAGCAUUUGGUGGAAAAAAGUGGGAUUUCCUGUCACUUUUAGAACUUCUUUUUCUUUUACAAAAACCUCUACAGCAUACUGUGUACAUCUGACAAUCUUGCUAUUCUGAGAUUCAGAAUAGAUUUAUCUUUCUUCAGAAUAGAUUUAUCUUUCUGAAUCGUUCCCUAGUUUCACUUCUGCCUCAUUGGAGUCUGUGCACUGAAUAUUUCGGAUUAUUUAUCGUACGUUAAAAAAAACAAUCAGAAACACACUGUUCACACCCCCUUGGUUUCAUACACUGUUCCAUAUUUAAAAAAAAGUAAUCUAUUUUUUGUUAAAGUCUUGUCUCUACUGUGACAUCCCUUAAAUCAUGUUCACCCCCAUUACACAAGAGAAAACCAUGACAGACCAAACUCU
ensembl:lncRNA